rnacentral:rRNA from 1 species
GAUGAACGCUGGCGGCGUGCCUAAUACAUGCAAGUCGAGCGAACAGACGAGGAGCUUGCUCCUCUGACGUUAGCGGCGGACGGGUGAGUAACACGUGGAUAACCUACCUAUAAGACUGGGAUAACUUCGGGAAACCGGAGCUAAUACCGGAUAAUAUAUUGAACCGCAUGGUUCAAUAGUGAAAGACGGUUUUGCUGUCACUUAUAGAUGGAUCCGCGCCGCAUUAGCUAGUUGGUAAGGUAACGGCUUACCAAGGCAACGAUGCGUAGCCGACCUGAGAGGGGGGUCGGCCACCCUGGAACUGAGACACGGUCCAGAGUCCUAAGGGAGGCAGCAGUAGGGAAUCUUCCGCAAUGGGCGGAAGCCUGACGGAGCAACGCCGCGUGAGUGAUGAAGGUCCUCGGAUCGUAAAACUCUGUUAUUAGGGAAGAACAAAUGUGUAAGUAACUAUGCACGUCUUGACGGUACCUAAUCAGAAAGCCACGGCUAACUACGUG